GACGAACGCUGGCGGCGUGCUUAACACAUGCAAGUCGAACGCACAGGCCCUGCUUUUGUGGGGUGCUCGAGUGGCGAACGGGUGAGUAACACGUGAGUAACCUGCCCUUGACUUUGGGAUAACUUCAGGAAACUCGGGCUAAUACCGGAUAGGAGCUCCUGCUGCACGGUGGGGGUUGGUAAGUUUCGGCGGUUGGGGAUCGACUCGCGGCUUAUCAGCUGCAUUGUGGGGUAGUGGCUUACCAAGGUUUUGACGGCUAGCCGGCCUGAGAGGGUGACCGGCCACAUUGGGACUGCGAUACGGACCAGACGCCUACGGGAGGCAGAAGUGGAGAGUAUUGCGCAGUGGGCGGAAGCCUGAUGCAACAACGCCGCGUGCGGGAUGACGGCUUUCGGGUUGAAAACAGCUGUCGCCUGUGACGAAGCGGGAGUGACGGUAAUGAGUAAAGAAGCAACGGCUAACUACGUG
rnacentral:rRNA from 1 species